CAGGCACAUGGAGACACUAGUAGGAUCAGCUGGUACAUCUGGCACAAUGUAUUACACAAGGGUGGGUGAUCAGGUUAAGGAGCUAACUUUUCCAGAAGUAUAUAUAGCCUAGAACUUGUCUCCUAGCUGUGUCAAACAACGGCUUAUCUGUUAAGGCCAUUUCCACUCGAGAAAAAUUUCCAUGGAAAGAAAAUGUUCCAAAAAUGUCAUUGUUAAAAUGUCAUUGUGUCGGCCAAUCUCAUUUUACAAAAUUUUCUUUCUGCGUAAAAUUUUUCCUGAGUGGAAAUGGGCCUUUAGACGAGAGUUGUAAGCAGUCUGUUUAUAAUCGUGUUUAGCAUGUAAAAGAUUAGAAUGAAAAAAGAGGAAGACAUGUUGAAACACGGGAAAAUUGGGGAGCUUAAGGCUAAGCAAGCAAGAAAGCAACGUGAAAACAAUGGUUGUGAAUUCAUUGAAAUAUCAUUUAGCCCAGAUGAAAUGAAUAAUUAAAUUUUAAAAUGAAUAAUUAAAUAUCCAAGUCCUUAAUAAACCAACGGAACGAUGUUUUAAUACUGACGAAAACCAACAACAAAUUAAUUUGUGGAUUUCACUAUGAGAUUAGUGGUGGAUUUACGAAGAAAUAGUUUACAAAGAAGUACUGAACACUUAAGAUAAGCUUACCUCAACUUAGAGUAGAACGUGUCGCGAUGUCUUGUUGGAAUGUACGAUAGAGUACAUGGCGAUUACCCUCUGAUUUCGAAACUAGCAUCUGAAUUCAUUUACGCUAUCUAGUAAGGAACUCCAUCGAAAAUGUAUUUGCUUCUAUUCGGUUGUAAUUAACCUAACAAUUAAGAGCGUUUCACCUGGUACUUUUAGUAAAAUUGUUGACCAAGGAAUUUAAGACAUCACAAAAUAAAACAGAACAGAACAGGACAGAACAGAACAGAACAGAACAGAACAGAACAGAACAGAACAGAACAGAACAGAACAGAACAGAACAGAACAGAACAGAACAGAAC
rnacentral:lncRNA from 1 species